UUUCUUUUUCCUUUUUCAAAGCAGCGUGCAUUCUAUUCUUUAAUGAGUUCUUACCAAGUCUAUCUGAGGCCAACAGACAAGUUGAGAAUCGAUCUAGAGAGUUGGUAAUAAAUCGAUGAUGGAUCCAAGCUGUAUUUUACCCUUCAGAUGCUGAGAACUUUUCUGGCAGCAAUCCAGGCAGUACUGAAGUUGACUUCCCCAGUCAAGAAAAUACUGAAUCCAACAUGUCAUUGGAUGCUUCAAAGGAGCCUGUUGAGCAUAUUGAGGUUGAUAUAUCUGAAGGGGUUGCAGCUGAGAUGUUUGUAAUUUCAUCUUCUGCUGAAAGGAGGUUUCUUGCACAGCUUGCAAACCCUCUUCCUGAUGGUUAUAAGAGUCCAUGUUUCUCGGCCAUUAUCAUUCAUGGCUUUCGAUAUUUACGGCUCUGCGAACUGGUGAUCAUGCUGGGUUCACGUUU